AACGAACGCUGGCGGCAGGCCUAACACAUGCAAGUCGAGCGCGCCCUUCGGGGUGAGCGGCGGACGGGUGCGUAACGCGUGGGAACGUGCCCUUUUCUACGGAAUAGCCUCGGGAAACUGAGAGUAAUACCGUAUACGCCCUUUGGGGGAAAGAUUUAUCGGAAAAGGAUCGGCCCGCGUUGGAUUAGGUAGUUGGUGGGGUAAUGGCCUACCAAGCCGACGUUCCAUAGCUGGUUUGAGAGGAUGAUCAGCCACACUGGGACUGAGACACGGCCCAGACUCCUACGGGAGGCAGCAGUGGGGAAUCUUAGACAAUGGGGGCAACCCUGAUCUAGCCAUGCCGCGUGAGUGAUGAAGGCCUUAGGGUUGUAAAGCUCUUUCAGCUGGGAAGAUAAUGACGGUACCAGCAGAAGAAGCCCCGGCUAACUCCGUG
rnacentral:rRNA from 1 species